rnacentral:rRNA from 1 species
CGGCACGGGUGAGUAACGCGUAUGCGACCUGCCCGUUGCAGGGGGGAUAAUCGGGAGAAAUCCCGUCUAAUACCGCGUAACGCCGCGGGGCUGCAUGGCCCUGCGGCCAAAGGGAGCGAUUCCGGCAACGGAUGGGCAUGCGUGACAUUAGCUAGUUGGCGGGGCAACGGCCCACCAAGGCGACGAUGUCUAGGGGUUCUGAGAGGAAGGUCCCCCACACUGGUACUGAGACACGGACCAGACUCCUACGGGAGGCAGCAG